rnacentral:rRNA from 1 species
UACGUAGGGGGCGAGCGUUGUCCGGAAUCAUUGGGCGUAAAGCGCGUGUAGGCGGCCCGGUAAGUCCGCUGUGAAAGUCCAGGGCUCAACCCUGGGAUGCCGGUGGAUACUGUCGGGCUCGAGUCCGGAAGAGGCGAGUGGAAUUCCUGGUGUAGCGGUGAAAUGCGCAGAUAUCGGGAGGAACACCUAUGGCGAAGGCAGCUCGCUGGGACGUUACUGACGCUGAGACGCGAAAGCGUGGGGAGCAAACAGG